ACCUUCGUGGUGUAGUGGUCAGCAUGCUCAAUGCGUAACCGAGAAGUCAGUGGUUCGAUUCCCUGCGAAAGCA
rfam:Stegodyphus mimosarum contig80868, whole genome shotgun sequence.